rnacentral:rRNA from 1 species
UGGGGAAUUUUGGACAAUGGGCGAAAGCCUGAUCCAGCCAUGCCGCGUGCAGGAUGAAGGCCUUCGGGUUGUAAACUGCUUUUGUACGGAACGAAAAGACUCUGGUUAAUACCUGGGGUCCAUGACGGUACCGUAAGAAUAAGCACCGGCUAACUACGUGCCAGCAGCCGCGGUAAUACGUAGGGUGCAAGCGUUAAUCGGAAUUACUGGGCGUAAAGCGUGCGCAGGCGGUUAUAUAAGACAGAUGUGAAAUCCCCGGGCUCAACCUGGGAACUGCAUUUGUGACUGUAUAGCUAGAGUACGGCAGAGGGGGAUGGAAUUCCGCGUGUAGCAGUGAAAUGCGUAGAUAUGCGGAGGAACACCGAUGGCGAAGGCAAUCCCCUGGGCCUGUACUGACGCUCAUGCACGAAAGCGUGGGGGAGCAAACAGGAUUAGAUACCCUGGUAGUCCACGCCCUAAACGAUGUCAACUGGUUGUUGGGGUCUUCACUGACUCAGUAACGAAGCUAACGCGUGAAGUUGACCGCCUGGGGGUAGU